AUGGCUGUCGUCAGCUCGUGUUGUGAAAUGUUGGGUUAAGUCCCGCAACGAGCGCAACCCUUAUCCUUUGUUGCCAGCGGUCCGGCCGGGAACUCAAAGGAGACUGCCAGUGAUAAACUGGAGGAAGGUGGGGAUGACGUCAAGUCAUCAUGGCCCUUACGACCAGGGCUACACACGUGCUACAAUGGCGCAUACAAAGAGAAGCGACCUCGCGAGAGCAAGCGGACCUCAUAAAGUGCGUCGUAGUCCGGAUUGGAGUCUGCAACUCGACUCCAUGAAGUCGGAAUCGCUAGUAAUCGUGGAUCAGAAUGCCACGGUGAAUACGUUCCCGGGCCUUGUACACACCGCCCGUCACACCAUGGGAGUGGGUUGCAAAAGAAGUAGGUAGCUUAACCUUCGGGAGGGCGCUUACCACUUUGUGAUUCAUGACUGGGGUGAAGUCGUAACAAGGUAACCGUAGGGGAACCUGCGGCUGGAUCACCUC
rnacentral:rRNA from 1 species